rnacentral:rRNA from 1 species
UACGUAGGGGGCUAGCGUUGUCCGGAAUCAUUGGGCGUAAAGCGCGUGUAGGCGGCCCGGUAAGUCCGCUGUGAAAGUCGGGGGCUCAACCCUCGAAUGCCGGUGGAUACUGUCGGGCUAGAGUGCGGAAGAGGCGAGUGGAAUUCCUGGUGUAGCGGUGGAAUGCGCAGAUAUCAGGAGGAACACCAAUAGCGAAGGCAGCUCGCUGGGACGUACUGACACUGAGGCGCGAAAGCGUGGGGAGCGAACAGG